rnacentral:rRNA from 1 species
GAUGAACGCUAGCGGCAGGCUUAAUACAUGCAAGUCGAGGGGCAGCACGGGUAGCAAUACCUGGUGGCGACCGGCAAACGGGUGCGGAACACGUACGCAACCUUCCCAUAACUGGUGAAUAGCCCUCCGAAAGGAGGAUUAAUACACCGUAACUUAACGAAGUGGCAUCACUUUGUUAAUAUAGGCUUCGGCCGGUUUUGGAUGGGCGUGCGCCUGAUUAGGUAGUUGGCGGGGUAACGGCCCACCAAGCCUGCGAUCAGUAACUGGUGUGAGAGCACGACCAGUCACACGGGCACUGAGACACGGGCCCGACUCCUACGGGAGGCAGCAGUAAGGAAUAUUGGUCAAUGGACGAAAGUCUGAACCAGCCAUGCCGCGUGAAGGAUUAAGGCCCUCUGGGGUCUAAACUUCUUUUUAAUCCUGGGACGAAAAAAGGGUAUUCUUACUCACUUGACGGUACCAGAGGAAUAAGCACCGGCUAACUCCGUGCCAGCAGCCGCGGUAAAGUCUGUACU